GAAAAGGAAGCUUUCGUUUAUUCUUUCCCACCCGCUUCUGUUGCCUCUUUCUCAAGGAUUUAGACCUCUUUGGGAUAUACAAACAAAUAAUCUUGUGGACUGCUCAAAAAACGAAACAAAUGGACGAUAAAUAUUAAAUUCACAAAGGAGCUCACUACAGCUACACACAAAACAAAAAGGAAACGGAAAGUUGCUAACGUUACUUGCGUUUGAACGUCUUCGGAGUGACAUCGACGAGAAGUGCUGUGUUGUCUUGUCUUUGGGUUUCAUCCUGGCUGUAAAAGAGUUGAGUGGUCGCUUUUAAAACAUCAGGAUUGCAAUGGCAAUAUCUGAAUUGCGGGCCAGCACCUGAAACAAGGCAGGCCAUAUCUAAUGAGGUUUACAUCAUUGCAUUAUGCUCAAAGACCACAUUUUCCUACAGAAUUUUGGAAUUGAUGAUGAUUGAUAUGACAAUCAAAGACUUUUAAGGAUAGAUUUUUUAAUCUUUUAUGCAAUUUUCUGUUUUAAUUAAGUUGGCAGAGUUGCCAUUUUAGAAAUGUGAAUUUGUUUUUAAUAUUUGUUUUUUUUAGUUU